GACGAACGCUGGCGGCGUGCUUAACACAUGCAAGUCGAACGGAAAGGCCCUGCUUUUGUGGGGUGCUCGAGUGGCGAACGGGUGAGUAACACGUGAGUAACCUGCCCUUGACUUUGGGAUAACUUCAGGAAACUGGGGCUAAUACCGGAUAGGAGCUCCUGCUGCAUGGUGGGGGUUGGAAAGUUUCGGCGGUUGGGGAUGGACUCGCGGCUUAUCAGCUUGUUGGUGGGGUAGUGGCUUACCAAGGCUUUGACGGGUAGCCGGCCUGAGAGGGUGACCGGCCACAUUGGGACUGAGAUACGGCCCAGACUCCUACGGGAGGCAGCAGUGGGGAAUAUUGCACAAUGGGCGGAAGCCUGAUGCAGCCACGCCGCGUGGGGGAUGACGGCCUUCGGGUUGUAAACCGCUUUCGCCUGUGACGAAGCGUGAGUGACGGUAAUGGGUAAAGAAGCACCGGCUAACUACGUG
rnacentral:rRNA from 1 species